CACUGUACGGUGACGAGGGAUCAUCGAGGUCGCGUUAUCGGUAGCUAAGAUUGCAGAAGUUCAACUUCCGAGUUAAAUAUGGCGAAGCCCAUGGUCCUUCGUUCGCGCCAACUUUGUCCAGGAAAUCUUUCAGAGGCACUUCAUCAAGAUAAUCAGUUUCGGCGAGGUUGCAUCUUCUUAAUUACAGUAGGCACCGAUCCAGUGGAAAAUUUCGUACGACACAGACGUUCCUACGGGCCGGUAGCUUUUUACUCGGCAGCUUUUAUAUAGGGCAAAAAAGCCGGCC
rnacentral:misc_RNA from 1 species